CACAUGGUGGCUUAGUGGUUAGUACGUUCACCUCACACCUCCAGGGUCCCGGGUUCAAUUCCGCCCAGGCCAUGAGU